CAAUAGCGUAUAUUAAAGUUGUUGCAGUUAAAAAGCUCGUAGUUGGAUUUCUGGUGGGAGCGAUCGGUCUGGCGCUUAGCGCGAGUACUUGCAUCGUCUCCGGCCAUCCUUGGGGAGAGUCUGUCUGGCAUUAGGUUGUCGGGCAGAGGAUCUUCAUCGUUUACUGUGAAAAAAUUAGAGUGUUCAAAGCAGGCUUAUGCCGUUGAAUAUAUUAGCAUGGAACAAUAAGAUAGGACUUUGGUACUAUUUUGUUGGUUUGCGCACCAAAGUAAUGAUUAAUAGGGACAGUUGGGGGUAUUCGUAUUCCGUUGUCAGAGGUGAAAUUCUUGGAUUUACGGAAGACGAACUACUGCGAAAGCAUUUACCAAGGAUGUUUUCAUUAA
rnacentral:rRNA from 1 species